rnacentral:rRNA from 1 species
UGAGUACGAGACGCUAAGGCGUUGAAGCAGUCUAUGUCAGACUUCCAAGAAAAGCUCGCAAUGUCAUAAACAAAGAAUGCCUGUACCAUAACCGACACAGGUGGGUAGGUAGAGUAUACUAAGGGGCGCGAGAUAACUCUCUCUAAGGAACUCGGCAAAAUGACUCCGUAACUUCGGGAGAAGGAGUGCCUUAUUUUUAUAAGGUUGCAAUAACAAGAUCCAAGCAACUGUUUACCAAAAACACAGGUCUCCGCUAAGUCGUAAGACGAUGUAUGGGGGCUGACGCCUGCCCAGUGCCAGAAGGUUAAAGAAGUUGGUUAGUUUCGGCGAAGCUGAUGACUGAAGCCCUGGUGAACGGCGGCCGUAACCAUAACGGUCCUAAGGUAGCGAAAUUCCUUGUCGGGUAAGUUCCGACCCGCACGAAAGGCGUAAUGAUUUGGAUACUGUCUCGGAGAGGGGCUCGGUGAAAUAGACUUGUCUGUGAAGAUGCGGACUACCUGCACCUGGACAGAAAGACCCUAUGAAGCUUUACUGUAACUUGAGAUUGAAAUUGGACUUUAUUUGCGCAGUAUAGGUGGGAGACGUUGAGAAUAUUCUUGCGGGAAUAUUGGAGUCAUCAGUGAGAUACCACUCUUGUAAUGUUAGAUUUCUAACUUUGUAUCAUGAUCUGGUCAAAGGACAGUUUCAGGCGGGCAGUUUGACUGGGGCGGUCGCCUCCCAAACGGUAACGGAGGCGCACAAAGGUUUCCUCUGAACGUGUAGAAAUCGUAUCUAGAGUGUAAAGGCAUAAGGAAGCUUGACUGUGAGACCUACAAGUCGAGCAGGGACGAAAGUCGGUCUUAGUGAUCUGACGGUGCUGAGUGGAAAGGCCGUCACUCAACGGAUAAAAGUUACUCUAGGAUAACAGGCUGAUCUCCCCCAAGAGUUCACAUCGACGGGGAGGUUUGGCACCUCGAUGUCGGCUCAUCGCAUCCUGGGGCGGUAGUACGUCCCAAGGGUUGGGCUGUUCGCCCAUGAAAGCGGUGCGCGAGCUGGGUUCAGAACGUCGUGAGACAGUUCGGUCCAUAUCCGGUGUAGGCGUUAGAAUAUUGAGAGGAGCCUUCUUUAGUACGAGAGGACCGAGAAGGACAUACCUCUGGUGUACCAGUUAUCGUGCCAACGGUAAACGCUGGGUAGCUAUGUAUGGAGUGGAUAACCGCUGAAAGCAUCUAAGUGGGAAGCCCACCUCAAGAUAAG